rnacentral:rRNA from 1 species
GAUGAACGCUAGCGGCAGGCUUAAUACAUGCAAGUCGAGGGGUCAGCAAUGACACCGGCGGACGGGUGCGUAACGCGUAUGCAACCUACCUACAUCAGGGGGAUAGCCCUAGGAAACUGGGAUUAACACCGCAUAAUAGUAUUGAUGGCAUCAUUGAUAUUUGAAAUAUUUAUAGGAUGUAGAUGGGCAUGCGUAAGAUUAGCUAGUUGGUAAGGUAACGGCUUACCAAGGCUACGAUCUUUAGGGGCUCUGAGAGGAGUAUCCCCCACACUGGGACUGGGAGACGGGCCAGACUCCUACGGGAGGCAGCAGUAGGGAAUAUUGGGCACUGGAGGCAACUCUGACCCAGCCAUGCCGCGUGCAGGAAGACGGCCCUCUGGGUUGUAAACUGCUUUUGAAUGGGAAGAAUGUGAUGUUUGCGAGCAUUAAUGACGGUACCAUUAGAAUAAGCCACGGCUAACUACGUGCCAGCCGCCGCGGUAAAAC